GAUGAACGCUGGCGGCGUGCCUAACACAUGCAAGUCGAGCGAUUUACUUCGGUAAAGAGCGGCGGACGGGUGAGUAACGCGUGGGUAACCUGCCUUAUACACAUGGAGAACAUACCGAAAGGUGUGCUAAUACAAGAUGAUAUAAGAGAUUCGCAGGGAUUUCUGAUCAAAGCUCCGGCGGUAUGAGAUGGACCCGCGUCUGAUUAGCUAGUUGGUAAGGUAACGGCUUACCAAGGCGACGAUCAGUAGCCGACCUGAGAGGGUGAGCGGCCACAUUGGAACUGAGACACGGUCCAAACUCCUACGGGAGGCAGCAGUGGGGAAUAUUGCACAAUGGGCGAAAGCCUGAUGCAGCAACGCCGCGUGAGCGAUGAAGGCCUUCGGGUCGUAAAGCUCUGUCCUCAAGGAAGAUAAUGACGGUACUUGAGGAGGAAGCCCCGGCUAACUACGUGCCAGCCGCCGCAGUAACAC
rnacentral:rRNA from 1 species